UGUCGAGUCACACUCGACAUAGGAGUGCAAAGGGUUAAAAGAGAAAGAGGCAGAAAAAACAAGAAGAAAAGUAGGAGAAAAUGGAAAUUAAAGGAGCGAAGAUUAACGCGCGUGAUGUGUGGUGGAGAUUAGGGCGGAGGUCACAGCGGAGGUGAGGAGGUUAAGGGCGUCGCGAGAGAACAGAUACACGCGGAAUUCAGGAGCAGUUCAGGUUAUAUUGCCCUGUUUCGCCACCUAUCCGCGGAAUUUAGUUUCAGAAAUCUGUCACGUGGUUCGGUGAUGGAGUGCGUAGCUAGCUACAAGCGACGACGAGUGUAUUCGUCAAACAUAUUCAACGGGUUCAGUUCAAAUCUAUUUCGAAUCUAUUUCGAAAUAUCGGCAACAGGAAAACUAGUACUCUGUUCGUAGCUUCGAUAAUGCAACAAAAGUAUCAACGCUUGGACCACCAUUUUGCCAACCUAACACUUAUUGAAAUACUUGCGGUCGAUGGUGUAUGUUGGAUCGUUUGAAAAGACGCAACGACGACAUUCCACGGAUGGAAAAGAAGGAGAGUUUACGACUCGGUCGUGCGAUUUGACGAUAUUCCGAGAGAAGUGUGUGACGGACAUAAAUUUCGUCGGCGAGAGAUCGAUAAACGUUGCUUUAUGGUUUCCUUGAUUUCGCUCGUUUACUCUGUGCUCGCGGUGGAACACGAGGAAAGUAAUCGAGAAGGUUUUAUCGUCGACACGGAGGGGGUCCCUUCGUUUCAACGUUCAUUGUUUAAUUGUUCGCGUUUUAUUCGCAGAGAUUCGUAAGAUGGAGAUCCUCCGGCUGCUUUAAAUCAAUAUACACCGUGGCAAUACCGAUAGGAUGAAUACAAUUCAUGUACAGUCGAGCCGCAAGAACUAAAAUCUUCGAAUUACAGAGAUUUCGACUUAUCAAAAUUUCCAGUAAAAGAGAGAUAGCAAAGGAAAAUUCGACAUACAGAAGUUUCAGACGAAGGAAAAAUCCAAGAGUGUUUGUAGAAAACACUGUAAGUGGCAAGCUUGACAAAUUUUGAUUUUUCAUUGGGACAUGUUUUAUAUACCAAUGAGGAUACUGUAGCAUAGAACUUGGGUGCAAUUUCCCUUUCUAAAUGAUUAUUAAUAAUGCCAGAUGAUGGUGUUACAGUCUUUGUAGAAAAAUAUAUGGACAAAUAAACAUUAGUUAAUUGUUUCUACAUUUUUGUCUAUGCUACAAAUAUAAAUGAAUGGAGAUGGCAUGACAGGCUCUUCUACAGAUACACUUUUCUUCCUAAAUUUGGACUAGAUUAUUGCAUAGGUUUUUUAAAAUCUUAUUACAACGUUGUUUUUGUGGAAAAAAUAUGUGGACAAAUAAACAUUAGUUAAUUGUUUCUUGGCUCUUGUCUGUGGCAUUUAUUUAAAUAAAUGGACCUCACAACUAUGAGGUAGCAUGACAGGCUCUUCUACAGAUACACUUUUCUCUUCCAUGAAUUUGGACUAGAUUAAUGCAUAAGUUUCUGUAAAUAAUAGUACAAUGUCGUCUUUGUAAAAAAAAUUUAUAUGGUCAAAUAAACAUUAAUUAAUUAGUUUA